ACUCCACGGAGGCAGCAGUGGGAAUCUUGCACAAUGGGCGAAAGCCUGAUGCAGCCAUGCCGCGUGAAUGAUGAAGGCCUUAGGGUUGUAAAAUUCUUUCGCCAGGGAUGAUAAUGACAGUACCUGGUAAAGAAGCCCCGCUAGCUUACUGUGCCAGCAGCCGCGGUAAUACGAAGGGCGUAGCGUUGUUCGGAAUUACUGGGCGUAAAGCGCGCGUAGGCGGGUUGUUAAGCCAGAUGUGAAAGCCCGGAGCUCAACUCCGGAAUUGCAUUUGGAACUGGCAACCUAGAGGCCCAGGAGAGGUCAGUGGAAUACCGAGUGUAGAGGUGAAAUUCGUAGAUAUUCGGUGGAACACCAGUGGCGAAGGCGACUGACUGGACUGGUACUGACGCUGAGGUGCGAAAGUGUGGGGAGCAAACAGGAUUAGAUACCCUGGUAGGCUCUGC
rnacentral:rRNA from 1 species